UACGGAGGGUGCAAGCGUUUAUCCGGAUUCACUGGGUUUAAAGGGUGCGUAGGUGGGCAGGUAAGUCAGUGGUGAAAUCUCCGGGCUUAACCCGGAACUGCCGUUGAUACUAUUUGUCUUGAAUAUUGUGGAGGUAAGCGGAAUAUGUCAUGUAGCGGUGAAAUGCUUAGAUAUGACAUAGAACACCAAUUGCGAAGGCAGCUUACUACACAACGAUUGACGCUGAGGCACGAAAGCGUGGGGAUCAAACAGG
rnacentral:rRNA from 1 species